rnacentral:rRNA from 1 species
AGUGAACGCUGGCGGUAGGCCUAACACAUGCAAGUCGAACGGCAGCACAGUAAGAGCUUGCUCUUACGGGUGGCGAGUGGCGGACGGGUGAGGAAUACAUCGGAAUCUACUUUUUCGUGGGGGAUAACGUAGGGAAACUUACGCUAAUACCGCAUACGACCUACGGGUGAAAGCAGGGGAUCUUCGGACCUUGCGCGAUUGAAUGAGCCGAUGUCGGAUUAGCUAGUUGGCGGGGUAAAGGCCCACCAAGGCGACGAUCCGUAGCUGGUCUGAGAGGAUGAUCAGCCACACUGGAACUGAGACGCGGUCCAGACUCCUACGGGAGGCAGCAGUGGGGAAUAUUGGACAAUGGGCGCAAGCCUGAUCCAGCCAUACCGCGUGGGUGAAGAAGGCCUUCGGGUUGUAAAGCCCUUUUGUUGGGAAAGAAAAGCAGCAGGUUAAUACCCCGCUGUUCUGACGGUACCCAACGAAUAAGCACCGGCUAACUUCGUG